UACAGAGACUGCAAGCGUUAUUCGGAUUCACUGGGCGUAAAGGGUGCGCAGGCGGUUGUGUGUGUCAGGUGUGAAAGCCCGGGGCUUAACCCCGGAAUUGCGCCUGAAACUACAUGACUAGAGCAUUGGAGAGGGUAGCGGAAUUCACGGUGUAGCAGUGAAAUGCGUAGAUAUCGAGAGGAACACCUGCGGCGAAGGCGGGUUGCUGGGCUGACACUGACGCUGAUGCGCGAAAGCCAGGGGAGCGAACGGG
rnacentral:rRNA from 1 species